UGAAACCGUUCGGGGGUAAACGGACAGAGCCCGUGAAUCUGGACGGCGGAAUUCAGAAUCGUGAGCGGGACGAGUGCGCGUGCGUGCUCGUUACGGCGCGGUUUGAUAUUUCCGUCGUCGUGUGCGUGUACACCACGUACUACACACGGACGUCGCGAUCCGUUCGACGUCGGUCGUUACCUGGCUAACGGAGGAGUCGCGAUCGAGUUUGCGGCGGGUAGUGUGUGCGCGACGUCGCCGUUGUUGUGCGCGCUGCUCGCGGCAAAGUCGCGGACCUUACUCUGGCCGACUCGUCGGACGGUAUGCGUAUGUUGGGUGAGCGGCGUGAACACACUGGAGUCACGUCGCGACCGAUCGGCGACGAUUUCUUCGGGCCU
rnacentral:rRNA from 1 species